CAUAGGUUAAUGAGGCGAACCGGGGGAACUGAAACAUCUAAGUACCCCGAGGAAAAGAAAUCAACCGAGAUUCCCCCAGUAGCGGCGAGCGAACGGGGAGCAGCCCAGAGCCUGAAUCAGUGUGUGUGUUAGUGGAAGCGUCUGGAAAGGCGCGCGAUACAGGGUGACAGCCCCGUACACAAAAAUGCACAUACUGUGAGCUCGAUGAGUAGGGCGGGACACGUGGUAUCCUGUCUGAAUAUGGGGGGACCAUCCUCCAAGGCUAAAUACUCCUGACUGACCGAUAGUGAACCAGUACCGUGAGGGAAAGGCGAAAAGAACCCCGGCGAGGGGAGUGAAAAAGAACCUGAAACCGUGUACGUACAAGCAGUGGGAGCACGCUUAGGCGUGUGACUGCGUACCUUUUGUAUAAUGGGUCAGCGACUUAUAUUCUGUAGCAAGGUUAACCGAAUAGGGGAGCCGAAGGGAAACCGAGUCUUAACUGGGCGUUAAGUUGCAGGGUAUAGACCCGAAACCCGGUGAUCUAGCCAUGGGCAGGUUGAAGGUUGGGUAACACUAACUGGAGGACCGAACCGACUAAUGUUGAAAAAUUAGCGGAUGACUUGUGGCUGGGGGUGAAAGGCCAAUCAAACCGGGAGAUAGCUGGUUCUCCCCGAAAGCUAUUUAGGUAGCGCCUCGUGAAUUCAUCUCCGGGGGUAGAGCACUGUUUCGGCAAGGGGGUCAUCCCGACUUACCAACCCGAUGCAAACUGCGAAUACCGGAGAAUGUUAUCACGGGAGACACACGGCGGGUGCUAACGUCCGUCGUGAAGAGGGAAACAACCCAGACCGCCAGCUAAGGUCCCAAAGUCAUGGUUAAGUGGGAAACGAUGUGGGAAGGCCCAGACAGCCAGGAUGUUGGCUUAGAAGCAGCCAUCAUUUAAAGAAAGCGUAAUAGCUCACUGGUCGAGUCGGCCUGCGCGGAAGAUGUAACGGGGCUAAACCAUGCACCGAAGCUGCGGCAGCGACGCUGAUGCGUUGUUGGGUAGGGGAGCGUUCUGUAAGCCUGCGAAGGUGUGCUGUGAGGCAUGCUGGAGGUAUCAGAAGUGCGAAUGCUGACAUAAGUAACGAUAAAGCGGGUGAAAAGCCCGCUCGCCGGAAGACCAAGGGUUCCUGUCCAACGUUAAUCGGGGCAGGGUGAGUCGACCCCUAAGGCGAGGCCGAAAGGCGUAGUCGAUGGGAAACAGGUUAAUAUUCCUGUACUUGGUGUUACUGCGAAGGGGGGACGGAGAAGGCUAUGUUGGCCGGGCGACGGUUGUCCCGGUUUAAGCGUGUAGGCUGGUUUUCCAGGCAAA
rnacentral:rRNA from 1 species